GUGCCAGCCGCCGCGGUAAUACGUAGGGUGCGAGCGUUAAUCGGAAUUACUGGGCGUAAAGCGUGCGCAGGCGGUUCGUGAAGUCCGAUGUGAAAGCCCUGGGCUCAACCUAGGAACGGCAUUGGAAACUGGCGGGCUAGAGUGUGGCAGAGGGGGGUGGAAUUCCUGGUGUAGCAGUGAAAUGCGUAGAGAUCAGGAGGAACACCGAUGGCGAAGGCAGCCCCCUGGGCUAACACUGACGCUCAGGCACGAAAGCGUGGGGAGCAAACAGGAUUAGAAACCCUCGUAGUCC
rnacentral:rRNA from 1 species